rnacentral:rRNA from 1 species
GACGGAGGGUGCUAGCGUUGUUCGGAAUCACUGGGCGUAAAGGGCGCGUAGGCGGCUUCAGGUGUCGGCUGUGAAAGCCCGGGGCUCAACCCCGGAGGUGCAGCCGAAACUCUGAGGCUCGAGGCCGGAAGAGGAGGGUGGAAUACCCAGUGUAGAGGUGAAAUUCGUAGAUAUUGGGUGGAACACCGGUGGCGAAAGCGGCUCUCUGGUCCGGACCUGACGCUGAGGCGCGAAAGCGUGGGGAGCAAAC